rnacentral:rRNA from 1 species
UACGGGGGGAGCAAGCGUUGUUCGGAUUUACUGGGCGUAAAGGGCGCGUAGGCGGUCAGCACAAGUCAGUUGUGAAAUCUCCGGGCUUAACUCGGAAAGGUCAACUGAUACUGUGCGACUAGAGUGCGGAAGGGGCAACUGGAAUUCUUGGUGUAGCGGUGAGAUGCGUAGAUAUCAAGAGGAAUACCUGCGGCGAAGGCGGGUUGCUGGGCCGACACUGACGCUGAGGCGCGAAAGCCAGGGGAGCGAACGGG